GACGAACGCUGGCGGCGUGCUUAACACAUGCAAGUCGAACGGAAAGGCCCUGCUUGCAGGGUACUCGAGUGGCGAACGGGUGAGUAACACGUGGGUGAUCUGCCCUGCACUUCGGGAUAAGCCUGGGAAACUGGGUCUAAUACCGGAUAGGAGCCAUUUUUAGUGUGAUGGUUGGAAAGUUUUUUCGGUGUAGGAUGAGCUCGCGGCCUAUCAGCUUGUUGGUGGGGUAAUGGCCUACCAAGGCGGCGACGGGUAGCCGGCCUGAGAGGGUGGACGGCCACAUUGGGACUGAGAUACGGCCCAGACUCCUACGGGAGGCAGCAGUGGGGAAUAUUGCACAAUGGGCGCAAGCCUGAUGCAGCGACGCCGCGUGGGGGAUGACGGCCUUCGGGUUGUAAACUCCUUUCGCUAGGGACGAAGCUUUUUGUGACGGUACCUAGAUAAGAAGCACCGGCUAACUACGUGCCAGCCGCCGCUGUAA
rnacentral:rRNA from 1 species